CACCGCCGGCCCAGUCUCCGAGCCCCAGUUGCAAACACUACCCGACAGGAAGCUUGCAAAUAGAAACCUUGCACCCCGCGCCUACAUUCGGUUGGGGCUGCUCUAGCACUGGCAGGGCUGCCGGCGGCCGUUUCCCUCCUUUCGCUACGGGCCAGGUGCGGCCGGGCAGCCCGCAGACAACUUUAUUCACUCAAGACACCGGCUCGGGCCGUGGCGGUCUCGCGGUGCAGGUUGCGGGCUGCAGGCGGUCCGCGAGAACUCUGCCACCUGGGACGCCUGGCUCCUCGCAGGUGGCAUCUCCAGGCCGACGGAGACGGCCAGGGACGGGGCUCGCCUUCUUCCUGGGUCGGGAUGCCUGAUGCAAGAUGGCUGUAUUUUGUAAGCUUCUAAAACAAUAUAUGGAAUACACAGCUAACUGCCCGAGGGCCUGAAUACCAGCCUUGGCAGCUGUUCUACCAGCCAGUUCGGCUUUUUAACCAUUUCAGUUUUAGGUAGAAUUGCCAAAUGCCGUAUAGUCAAAUGUCAGCAGCUUCUGAAUAGUUGGAUGCGGCGAGAAGGAAAUGGCAACCUACUCCAGUGUUCUUGCCUGGAGAAUCCUAUGGACAGACCAUGGGGUCACAGAGUCGGACAUGACUGAGCGACAAACACUGUCUUGAAUGCCAUGUGACUGCUGUUCCUGAG
ensembl:lncRNA